rnacentral:rRNA from 1 species
CAGUCGCCGCGGUAAUACGUAGGUGGCAAGCGUUGUCCGGAAUUAUUGGGCGUAAAGGGCUCGCAGGCGGUUUCUUAAGUCUGAUGUGAAAGCCCCCGGCUCAACCGGGGAGGGUCAUUGGAAACUGGGAAACUUGAGUGCAGAAGAGGAGAGUGGAAUUCCACGUGCAGCGGUGAAAUGCGUAGAGAUGUGGAGGAACACCAGUGGCGAAGGCGACUCUCUGGUCUGUAACUGACGCUGAGGAGCGAAAGCUAGGGGAGCAAAUGGGAUUAGAUACCCGAGUAGUCCCUGUCUCUUAUAC